rnacentral:sRNA from 1 species
UGAAUGCACGUCAAUCCCUAUGCGGUCAG